CAAUUCUGUGUUUGCAUAUACUGAAAGCUGUCCUUACCAUUGCAAAGGUUUGAUUUUAUUCAGUGCUUUCCUUGUUGAUGCUUCUGAUUUUCUGCAAGAGAACAAUUGGUGAUUCUACUGUAAGAUCAUUCAAAAAUAUUCAUUCACAGCCUGAUAUUGUGGGAUACUGGACUAGGACUGAAGUUGACCAUGUCUUUGGUAGUACACAUUUGUAUAAUAAUAACAAUAAUAAAUCCAUGCAAAACAUACACAGUUUUUCUCCAACUUUGUACCAAUUGUUUGUAUACAGUAUAUCCUAACAUGUUCACUAAUAACUCUAAAUUUAGGAGGAAUUAAAGAGCAUUAAGAGUUAAAUAGCAUAUCAUAGUUGUUGAAAGGAACUUUGUCUGGGGCCAGCUCUCUUUCCUGCUGUGGGUGUCUCGAGGGGGGUACCUGGCUUUGUGGCAUGGGGGGAAUAACAGUGUUGGGAGAUUGGAGGUGCACACGAGCAUUCUGCUUUUGCAGCUAUGGAGGAGGUUGGUCUCCCAUGGUUAGCUGGAAGAGGUGGCACAUGUCCCUCUAUCCUGCUCUCCUCCGAAAUGGAGAAUCGAAUGGGAGACUGGACAUAUCUCUGAGCACUGCAAACCCUGCAGUGUCAUAACUGGGCACUGCAAACCCUGCUGGAGGGUGGACUGGAGCCUUCUCCCACUGACUGGUGGUUUCUUGUUUCUCUCCCCAGAGUGCCAGCACCUUAUCAGAUAUUUGUCUAUGCAUCCCCUGGACAGGCCAUCACUGGAAGAUAUUUUCAAGCAUUCUUGAUUGGAGGAUGUUCACCUGCCCCAGAAGACAGCAGAGAUCCAUUCCCCUGCACAGUAGGAUCCAGGAGCCCGGCAAGUAACAGCUCCCCACGUCUCAUGGUAUUAAGAAGCAAAGAAAACCAGAUUGUUUCCCUGCUACUCAGUAGCACUGAGUAGGGAUUAUAGCUGAUGAGAUGCUUCCACCUGUCCUGGAGGAAGUGUCAGAGGAAGUGGCUAGGUACUUCCAUCAUAUUUGAGAAGUCGUGGCAGUCCAGUGAAGUUCCCACAGACUGGAAAAGGGGAAACAUCCCCCUCGCAGCGCAAUGGCAUCAUGGUCACCCUGCAACUCAGGGCACAACUGUGGCAUCCUGCAGUGUGACAUCAAGCUGGAGAACAUCAUCCUCAGGUGGCCACCGGCAGAGCAAAGCUGUUUGACUUUGGUUGCAGCACUUUCCUCAAGGACACACUCUACAUCCAGAUGAAAUCAAGAUGAGUCCAUACUCAGUGUGGGGAUGCUCCCAAUCCCGGGCAUCAAAGGGCCCAGCCUGGCCAGACAGCAGAGGUUCCCCUCUUUGCUAGGGAGGGAUGGAAUUAAUUUUUCAGCUGGCUGCCAAAUUGCUUUUUGGAGGGGGAGGGUGUGGAUGUUGUGGAAUGGGAGCCAGCUCCCACCUUGCCGACAGUGUCCACCGCCCAUCCUGGCCUGGACUGGGACUGGGGGAGGCAGCCUGACAAAAAUAUCCACCCGUGGAAGUGGUAGAGGGAGGAGUCUUGAACCUGUGUGCAGGCCAGUUUGCUUUGCAGGAAGAUUCUACCUGGUGCCUGGACAGAUGGGGAAGUGCUGGGACCAGCUGCCAGUGCUACCCUGGCCAUGAUCUGCAGGGACAUGCUCUUCAAGAUGAACAAGGACAUCAUCCGGGAUCAGCUCCUCUUCCAGAAGUGGGUCUCUCGGGGUGGGUACCCGGCUUCAUGGCAUGGGUGGGAUAACGGGUUUUGGAAGGUGGUAGCAGGCACACAAGCAUCCCACUCUUGCAGCUACUGAGGAGGUUGAUCUCCCAUGGUCAGCUGGAGGAGAUGGCACAUGUUCUCCUCACAUCCUACUCUCCUCCAAAAUGGAGAAUCAACUGGGAUGCUUGGGUGCAGGUCUGAGCACAACCAGUGGAGUCUGGACACUGUGGACCUGGUAGAGGGUGGACAGGAUCUUUCUCUCACUGACCAUCAGUUUUCAGUUUAUCUCCCUCUCCCCAGAGUGCCAACACCUCAUCACAUUGAAGCAUCAUCACACAGCCUGUGAGUUUGGAGGGUGGGAGUGGGAGGAGGGUAUCUUUCUUUAUGAGGAGGAAACACUUCAUUCACUGUCAAAAAUAAACUUUAUACUUUUGGUCCCCUU